rnacentral:rRNA from 1 species
GACGAACGCUGGCGGCGUGCUUAACACAUGCAAGUCGAACGGAAAGGCCCUGCUUGCAGGGUACUCGAGUGGCGAACGGGUGAGUAACACGUGGGUGAUCUGCCCUGCACUUCGGGAUAAGCCUGGGAAACUGGGUCUAAUACCGGAUAGGAGCCAUUUUUAGUGUGAUGGUUGGAAAGUUUUUUCGGUGUAGGAUGAGCUCGCGGCCUAUCAGCUUGUUGGUGGGGUAAUGGCCUACCAAGGCGGCGACGGGUAGCCGGCCUGAGAGGGUGGACGGCCACAUUGGGACUGAGAGACGGCCCAGACUCCUACGGGAGGCAGCAGUGGGGAAUAUUGCACAAGGGGCGCAAGCCGGAUGCAGCGACGCCGCGUGGGGGAGGACGGCCUUCGGGUUGUAAACUCCUUUCGCUAGGGACGAAGCUUUUUGUGACGGUACCUAGAUAAGAAGCACCGGCUAACUACGUG